GUUGCGGACGGUGAGGAAGCUCUGCUCUGACAGCCUUGGGUGCCUGUGCGGUGGGCGGGGCGCUGGGCCCUCGACUGUGGCACAGUGUACCCCUUAGUGGGUUUGUCCUUGGCGAGGGACAGCAUCGGCCGACGUUUCUGGCGGGAUGCGACACCCUCUAGUGCGGGUCCCUGGGCGGGUUUGGGUUUGUCCUCGGUGUGCGUCCCUCCCAUCUCCUUGGUCGGGGCUGCUUCUACCCUCAGAGUUCCCUUUUGCCCCAGAGGCCGGAAAUCUGACAGUCCUCAAGCUGCCAUUGGAAGCAGAUUUGGUGGCGAUCCAGUACAGUUUUUUUAGUUUUUGAUUCUCUGUGUUCAGGUUUAUGAGUGGACUCUUUCUUGCAAAGCUUUUUUGGUUUUGGGUCAGCUUUCCUUUUGCAUCUGGCUUGUAACACUGCCACAGGAGUGCCUUUCACCUGUCAGCUGGAGUGGGGGACUCCAUGCCAGAGGGAUGGUUUGGUAUUAUGUUUAAUACCUAGUCCUGUAAAUAGAAUUAUACAAGUUUUAAUGUUUUGGGAAUGCUGAAGAUAACAUGUCAAACU
rnacentral:lncRNA from 1 species